AUAAACUUUCUAUUCUCCAAGGCUGCCCUGGAAUUCCAGGUGCCACAGGACCCAGAGGAGACCCAGGAAAUGCAGGAAUGCGAGGACAACGGGGACCUCGGGGGAUCCCUGGAAAGGUGGGACUAACUGGCCCAAAAGGAGAAAGAGGUCCUGCUGGCGCCCCUGGAGUGAAAGGAGAUAAAGGAGCCCUGGGAGCUACGGGAGCCCCUGGAACAGCUGGUGAG